rnacentral:rRNA from 1 species
UACAGAGGGGGCAAGCGUUAUUCGGAAUUACUGGGCGUAAAGCGUGCGUAGGCGGUUCGUUAAGUUCGUUGUGAAAGCCCCGGGCUCAACCUGGGAAUGGCAAUGGAAACUGGCGGGCUGGAGUAUGGCAGAGGGGGGUGGAAUUCCGCGUGUAGCAGUGAAAUGCGUAGAGAUGCGGAGGAACACCGAUGGCGAAGGCAGCCCCCUGGGCCAAUACUGACGCUCAGGCACGAAAGCGUGGGGAGCAAACAGG